UUUCCGUAGGUGAACCUGCGGAAGGAUCAUUACCAAUAUAGCGAACCGAGCGUUAGCGAGGCUUCGCGAUCAAAUUGUAUUUAAAACCCAACUCUUUAAAUGUAUAUAUAUUAUUAUUGUAUUUUAAAUAAUAAAAAGAUCACUUUCAACAACGGAUCUCUUGGCUCUC
rnacentral:misc_RNA from 1 species